GAUAAUAGGCUGACCUUUCCCAAGAUUCCACAUCGACGGAAAGGUUUGGCAGCUCGAUGUCAGCUCUUUGCUACCUGAAGCUAUAGGUGGUUCCAAGGGUUGGGCUAUUUGCCCAUUAAUGCGGUAUGUGAGCCGGGUUCAGAACACCGUGAGACAC
rnacentral:ncRNA from 1 species